AAUGCUGGAGCAGUGCAAGCAGUCAAGUUCGAUGUGAGAGCCUCUUCGAGUCGUAAAUCAUUUAAGAAACUCAGAUGAGAGACUCAACAAGCCGUUAUUGGUGAGCUCACUGCUGUGAGAAGUACAGUGAGUGACAUUCCUCAAGUAAAAGAGCGAGUUACGGCGACUAUCAAGAUCGACAGUCUGUUUGAUUCACAGGCUGUCUCUUAUCACAAUAAACUUGAAGGAUUCCCGGAUAUCCAGGGGUUGUUGUUGCAAGUAGCAUAAACACAAAGAUUGUAGGAGGACGUUUGUUCUUUAAUGCCACCUCGAGAACACAUGUGUUUUUCGACAAGGAAACUGAUGCAGAAGCUAUACAUGUCUCUUUCAUUUAAAGAUCAGUCAAAACAGAAGACACUCAGAUCUCGAUUCUUACUCUAUAGUACAUGAAGAUAUCUCAGAUAGAUAUUUCUUUCCCUGUGUCAUCUAAUCUUCUUACUGUUCAAAGUAUGAAGGCUGUCUCAAGAACGGAGAUGUUGAUUGCAUCAUCCUUAGCACGUUAUACAUGACAAGACAUGAUCUUUUGAAGUAAGAAAUAGAUGUGUAUCUGCUGCAGUUGUACGGCUACUGAGAUAGAGGACUCAAAAGAGGAUAAAUACAAAACAGAGAUCUGCAGUACUUUGAUGAACUAGAAGCUAAUUUUUUUUUUUUUUUGUAAACUAACUAGAAGCUAAAUUUGAUGUGUAGCCUUCUCCCAAACUGGAACCAUCAACAACCUACUUUGUCUAAAUAUAAAAAGAGUCUUAACAGCAAGUAGGGUGUAAUCAUAUCUACUUAAUAUAUAACCCCACAUGUAGAAAAAGCACACGAGUGUACACAAGGA